rnacentral:rRNA from 1 species
AUUGAACGCUGGCGGCAGGCCUAAUCAAUCCAAUCGGAAGAGUGGCGGGCGGGGGAGACAUGUCUGGGACACUGGCUGAUGGAGGGGGGUAAAGACUGGAAACGGUUGGUAAUACCGGAUAGCCUCGAGUGUGGCCAGAUGGGAUUAGCUGGUUGGUGGGGUAACGGCUCACCAAGGCGACGAACCCUAGCUGGUCCGAGAGGGUUACCAGCCACACUGGAACUGAGACACGGUCCAGACUCCUACGGUAGGCAGCAGUGGGGAAUAUUGCGCAAUGGGCGCAAGCCUGAUACAGCCAUGCCGCGUGUAUGAAGAAGGCCUUCGGGUUGUAAAGUUCUUUCAGCGGGGAGGCGUUACCCGCAGAAAAAGCACCGGCUAACUCCGUGCCAGCAGCCGCGGUAAUAC